rnacentral:rRNA from 1 species
UACGGAGGAUGCGAGCGUUAUCCGGAUUUAUGGGUUUAAAGGGUGCGCAGGCGGAGGCACAAGUCAGCGGUAAAAUCGCGGGGCUCAACCCCGCUCCGCCGUUGAAACUGUGUCCCUUGAGUGCGCGAAGGGUAGGCGGAAUGCGUGGUGUAGCGGUGAAAUGCAUAGAUAUCACGCAGAACUCCGAUCGCGAAGGCAGCCUACCGGCGCGCGACUGACGCUCAUGCACGAAAGCGUGGGUAUCGAACAGG